UCCCUGGUGGCUCAGUGGUAAAGAAUCUGCCUGCUAAUGCAGGAGACACAGGUUCAGUCCCUGAUCUGGGAA
rfam:Ovis aries breed Texel chromosome 4, whole genome shotgun sequence.